GCAGCCUGUAUCAUGCUCCUUCUACCCUUUCUUUCCUUCCUCCAUCCCACUGCUUGGAAAGUGGACACGGGGGUGAAACCACUCUGGGCCACGCAGAAAGGGGCCACGCCCUAGGGAGGGGGGCAGCAGCAAGAGAGGAGGUAUCUGAUGCUUGACAUCGAGUCCCCACCUACCAGGCCUGGCCAGGAACACUAACUCCAGGCUGUGCCAGAGAGCUGGUAGCCCCUUUGAGCCACCUUUACUUUGUGUCUCUGUCACCAGAGCCAAACUUACACCCUACCAAAUAAACCAGUUCAAAUAAGCUAAGGCAGAAGAGCCUCCGUAGCAGGUGUUGGCAGUUUGAGGGUUCUGGUCCACCUGAAUUAAGCUCAAUACAAGGGUGCUGUGUGCUCAGAACAUCUGGUGCAAAAUCAGGCUGCAUUAACAGAAGUGUGGAUUCUCGACUAGGGGAAGGCAUCUGCUGGAGUCCAUACUGGCUGCCUUCCCAUUUUAUGGGCUUUAACCAGCUGGGGCUCAUCAAGGCAAGCAUCCUGGAUGGGACCAGAGGCACCCAAGGAGAAGGAAACGGGGCUGUUUGGCCUGAAGAACCGUCAGAAGUCUCCAGCAGAGCCCCGCAAAAGCUGCCAAGAGCCGGUGGCAGGGCAGGAAAGGCCAAGGCCUGGGAGGCAGGGGACACGAAGCAGCCAUCCCGGGGACAGGCCCAGGAAAUGCAAGGAGAAACGCCAGGAGCAAGCUCACCACCCACGGGCCACUGCCGUCCAACAGGACACGAUGGAGUUCCGUGUGUGAGUCAGGUGGUUGGGCUUCCCCACCCAGCUUGCUGGGCCUGCGGACCUGCACACCCGCCAGGACAUCCCUUUCCCUCCCGCACUCCGCCGGCUUGGGGAGCUCCCCGGCCUCCAGUCUCAGCGCUGCUGUUCCCUUCCAUGAUUUAUGACUGUGACUCCCACACACACUCCGGAGCAGGAAAACCCAGCGCACUGUUCACAAAUUAAAUCCAGCCCUCCUCUCCUCCCAGGCCUUCGAGGGCAGUGCCCUGGUCCCGCCCUCAGCCCGAGGCUCAGAACAUGCCAUCUCUGGGUAGGGCGUGUGCACUUCGUUCUUGACACAAGCCAGUCAACCAGCAGCCACGCUGAUGGACGGGCAACACUGCUGUGCUGACAACUAGGAGUGACAAAGCCCCGGCUGCCCCGCAGGACAUCAGCCUCACCUCCAGGCCCCACGGGCAGCAUUCUGCUUCUCAGCCCACCCGGUACCCCUGCAGCCCCUCUGCCUGCGAGACGUUGUCCCGGCCCAAUCCCCUGGUCAAGCCCACGCACGCUCCAAGACUCAGCUCCGCCCCAGCUCCCCCGGGCACUGCCUUCCCCGGGACGUCCCCGCGCAGGCUGGCAGAGCACCCGGUACGUACCUGGGCCCUCACUUCUGACUGCUCACGCACCUGUUUCCCACCACACGGAGUCUGUUUAGGGUAAGUCGCUUAGGAAAGCGGCUGGCACGGACAAGUGCCCCGUGAGCAUAUGCUAUAGUGCUCCUGUUGUCGUCGUUACCCUUGUGUCUCCGGUGCCCGGGACAACGCCUGGGCCAGGGCUGCUCAGUGCACACCUGUCAGAUGAGCUGCACAAAAGCACCAUCAGAUCUGAGCCUCAUGAUAAGGGGGGCCAGUGGGGGUGGGGCAUGGGUUUACCAGGAUUGUUCCCAUUUUACCGAUGAGGGCACUUUGGCUCCAAGAAGUCUUGGCUCCUCGCCUUUGUUCCCCUUACCAAAUUCAAAGUGCCUCCUAGAAGCAGGCAGGGGAUUCUGUGUGUGGCACGUCCCUAGUGGACAGCCACAAGGAACAAAAAUAGCCCCAUACUCUGUGCCGGGCAUCACGGGGGGCCCAUUUAAACCCCACGCAGCCUGGCACGUCAGGAUGAGGACCCCAUGCUGCAGAGAACAGAACCAAUGCCCCGAGAGGGGUACCUGCUCCAGAGGGAGGUCACGAAAGCCCCAGCUCCCCUAGGGCAGCCUCGCCCUCCGCAGGCUCUCCCGAGGGACGGCACGCUGACCCACUGGAGCGCUCAGGCAGGGGGUGGGAGAGGAGGCAGAGAGUUAUAGGGAAGAUG